rnacentral:rRNA from 1 species
UGUCGUCAGCUCGUGUUGUGAAAUGUUGGGUUAAGUCCCGCAACGAGCGCAACCCUUAUCCUUUGUUGCCAGCGGUCCGGCCGGGAACUCAAAGGAGACUGCCAGUGAUAAACUGGAGGAAGGUGGGGAUGACGUCAAGUCAUCAUGGCCCUUACGACCAGGGCUACACACGUGCUACAAUGGCGCAUACAAAGAGAAGCGACCUCGCGAGAGCAAGCGGACCUCAUAAAGUGCGUCGUAGUCCGGAUUGGAGUCUGCAACUCGACUCCAUGAAGUCGGAAUCGCUAGUAAUCGUGGAUCAGAAUGCCACGGUGAAUACGUUCCCGGGCCUUGUACACACCGCCCGUCACACCAUGGGAGUGGGUUGCAAAAGAAGUAGGUAGCUUAACCUUCGGGAGGGCGCUUACCACUUUGUGAUUCAUGACUGGGGUGAA